rnacentral:rRNA from 1 species
UACGAAGGGUGCAAGCGUUACUCGGAAUUACUGGGCGUAAAGCGUGCGUAGGUGGUUUGUUAAGUCUGAUGUGAAAGCCCUGGGCUCAACCUGGGAAUUGCAUUGGAUACUGGCAGGCUAGAGUGCGGUAGAGGAUGGCGGAAUUCCCGGUGUAGCAGUGAAUGCGUAGAGAUCGGGAGGAACAUCUGUGGCGAAGGCGGCCAUCUGGACCAGCACUGACACUGAGGCACGAAAGCGUGGGGAGCAAACAGG